UACGUAGGGACCGAGCGUUGUCCGGAAUCAUUGGGCGUAAAGAGCGUGUAGGCGGCCACUUAAGUCCUGCGUGAAAUCUUGCGGCUCAACCGCAAGCGGUCGUGGGAAACUGGGUGGCUAGAGUGCGGGAGAGGAGAGUGGAAUUCCUGGUGUAGCGGUGGAAUGCGCAGAUAUCAGGAAGAACACCAGUGGCGAAGGCGGCUCACUGGCCCGAUACUGACGCUGAGGCACGAAAGCGUGGGGAGCAAACAGG
rnacentral:rRNA from 1 species